UACGAAGGGGGCUAGCGUUGCUCGGAAUGACUGGGCGUAAAGGGCGCGUAGGCGGCGGUCACAGUCAGAUGUGAAAUUCCUGGGCUUAACCUGGGGGCUGCAUUUGAUACGUGGUUGCUUGAGUGGGGAAGAGGGUCGUGGAAUUCCCAGUGUAGAGGUGAAAUUCGUAGAUAUUCGGAAGAACACCAGUGGCGAAGGCGGCUCACUGGACCGGUAUUGACGCUGAGGUGCGAAAGCGUGGGGAGCAAACAGG
rnacentral:rRNA from 1 species